rnacentral:sRNA from 1 species
UAAUUCCAUCACUCACUAGUAAUCGUUUUGGUGUAUAAUGUUGUUUUUUUCCUACACAUAAGCGUAUGUAUGUAUACAUUCAUACCAGUUAGGAUCAUAUUGUAUUUCUAGUAUCUAGCAUAGUACUUGGCUCAGAGUAAACACUCUAAUAGAUUAAUGAAUGGUUUUUACUACCUAGAUCUCUGUUAAGAUUACUGAGAAACAGUGUAAGUUAGUCUUGUUUCAACAACUUAUAUCUUUGCCUCCUGAGGUAUGUUUUGUCAAUUGAGAGUGCUGAAGAGAUACGAGAAUAUGUUACUGAUCUCCUCCAGGGAAAUGAAGGCAAAAAAGGUCAAUUCAUAGAAGAACUUAUAACCAAAUGGCAAAAGAAUGAUCAGGAGUUGAUUUCUGAUCCUUUGCAGCAGUGCUUCAAAAAAGAUGAAAUUUUAGAUGGGCAGAAAUCAGGUGACCAUCUAAAGCGGGGUAGGAAGAAAGGGAGAAACAGACAGGAAGUUCCUGCAUUUACGGAACCUGACACGACUGCAGAGGUUAAAACACCUUUUGAUUUGGCCAAGGCACAAGAGAACAGCAACUCCGUAAAAAAGAAGACAAAGUUUGUCAAUUUAUACACAAGAGAGGGACAGGACAGGCUUGCAGUCCUGCUCCCUGGUCGCCACCCUUGUGAUUGCCUGGGCCAGAAGCACAAGCUCAUCAAUAACUGUCUGAUCUGUGGGCGCAUUGUCUGUGAACAAGAAGGCUCAGGCCCUUGCUUAUUCUGUGGCACUCUGGUGUGUACUCAUGAGGAACAAGAUAUUUUACAGCGUGACUCAAACAAGAGCCAGAAACUGCUAAAGAAACUCAUGUCAGUAUUCGAAGGACCCAAGUUAUUGAUGAUGAGUCAGAUUACUUUGCCAGUGAUUCUAACCAAUGGUUGUCCAAACUUGAGCGGGAAACCUUGCAGAAGCGAGAGGAGGAGCUGAGAGAACUUCGACACGCCUCUCGACUUUCUAAGAAGGUCACCAUUGACUUUGCAGGAAGGAAGAUCCUGGAAGAAGAAAAU